rnacentral:lncRNA from 1 species
AAAGGAUAAGGUAAUUUGGUUUCAUUGAAUACAACAUCCUUGGAGAUGUAAAUUCUUCCACUAGGAUCAAGGCAUUUAAAGCCUUUGGGAUUUGAUGAGUAGCCUAGAAAGAUGCAUUCCUGAAAGUGAAAGUUGAACUUAUUUAAUGAGUAAGGCCUUAGAUGAGAGUAUCAGGCACAACCAAAGAACUUGAGGUGCUUAUAGUCAGGAACAUUACCAUAGAGUUUGAAGUAAGGAGACUUCAUGUCCAGUAUAGGCGUUGACAUUCUGUUGAUUAAGUAGGUGGCAGUGAGGCAAGCAUGGUCCCAAAAUUUCAAAGGAGAGUUGCUUGGGCAAGCAAGGUAAGGCUGUUUCAACCACAUGCCUAUGCUUCCUUUCUAGAGACCCAUUUUGGUGAUGUGUGAGUAGCCUAGAAAGAUGCAUUCCUGAAAGUGAAAGUUGAACUUAUUUAAUGAGUAAGGCCUUAGAUGAGAGUAUCAGGCACACCAAAGAACUUGAGGUGCUUAUAGUCAGGAACAUUACCAUAGAGUUUGAAGUAAGGAGACUUCAUG